rnacentral:misc_RNA from 1 species
AAUAUUAUUAUUAUUUUUUUUUUUUGGGGUUUGGGGGGAAGAGUCGGAUUCAAGAGAUCAUUUUUUUUGUGGAAGACGGUUGGAUCAUUGUCAGAAUGUGGAAUGAUAUUCUUGUAGUUUGAUGUGUGUUGCUUGCAACUUUGCUUAAACAAAACAAAGGUCAACGAGAACUGGUAGGCUUGCCUUGAGAUGAAGUGGAGGAAUGGUUAACAUUUGGUUGGUAUGUUGAAUUUGAAAUUGAGGGGACAAAAAAAAAA